rnacentral:rRNA from 1 species
AUGGCGAGCAGGCAAGAAUCGUCAGUCACGGCGGCCGACUUGGACCCCGUGUACGAGUGGGUCGACGGCGACGGCAGCUAUCUCCUCCGCCUCAACCUCCCAGAAGGAGGAGUUCCGGGUGCACGUGGACCCCGCGGGCCGGCUCAACAUCCUCGGCCACAAAACGGCGGAUGGCGGAGCUGGGAACGUGCGGCUGCACAAGGUGUUUCAGCUCCAUCCACAUCCGACCUGGACGCAAUCACCGGCCGGAACGACGCCAACGUGCUCACGCUCACCGUGCCCAAGCUGCCUUCCGCCCCGGCCGCCAACGACGUCGGCGACAAACCUGUUGGAACGGAUGAGAAAUCCAAGGUUAUCCGGGAGGCGGAGCGGCUGAUCCAGGCGGCGAGGGCAAGGUUGCAGCAGGGGAGGCACAAAGAGGAGAAAGUGGACGACAGGAAACAGGAGGCCGAGGCAACGACGCCGGCAGAAAAGGUGGUGAAAGCUCAGGACCACAACGACAAGCUUGAGUAUGAGGCGGCGACGCAGAGGGACAAGAAAGGCUGCUGGAAGGAGGGGUUCACGUGGGCGGAUGCCAUAGGUCGUAAGAACAAGGAGGUGAUCGCCGCCACCGCCGUCGCCGCCUUCACGCUAGGCGUCUUCGUCUCCCAUAGGCUCUUCUCCAGAAACUGA